GCUUCGGAGCAAUAUCCAAUACAACAAGGAUUGAAAC
rfam:Beggiatoa sp. PS contig00722_0577, whole genome shotgun sequence.